UACGUAGGGGGCAAGCGUUGUCCGGAAUCAUUGGGCGUAAAGCGCGUGUAGGCGGCUCGAUAAGUCCGCUCUGAAAGUCCAGGGCUCAACCCUGGGAUGCGGGUGGAUACUGUCGGGCUCGAGUCCGGAAGAGGCGAGUGGAAUUCCCGGUGUAGCGGUGAAAUGCGCAGAUAUCGGGAAGAACACCCGUGGCGAAGGCGGCUCUCUGGAACGCAACUGACGCUGAGACGCGAAAGCGUGGGGAGCAAACAGG
rnacentral:rRNA from 1 species